rnacentral:rRNA from 1 species
UACGUAGGGUGCAAGCGUUGUCCGGAAUUAUUGGGCGUAAAGAGCUCGUAGGCGGUCUGUCGCGUCUGCUGUGAAAACUCAGGGCUUAACCCUGAGCUUGCAGUGGGUACGGGCAGACUAGAGUGGCGGUAGGGGAGACUGGAAUUCCUGGUGUAGCGGUGAAAUGCGCAGAUAUCAGGAGGGAACACCCGGUGGCGAAGGCGGGUCUCUGGGCCGUAACUGACGC